AUAUAUUGGAAUUAUUGGACUUUUUUACUGAUUUACUGCAACUGUCACAAAACCACUGCUCUCGUAAGUCAUGACUUUCACUGAUAUCGACGCAUUGAAAGUGGAACCACUCCUGACACCUGUCGCAACAAAUCAUACUUGUUCUAUUAUCAGGUAAGCGACAUAUACAAUAUAUGUCUAUUUCUUCUUCUUUUAUGAUACUUGCUACGUUCCUUUUCUUUUUCAAUACUGGAAACUUUAAAAAGGCGUUAAUGUUACCAAGUCAGGUGGUACAUGUACAUAUGAAUACUGAAGAUAACUGAGGGCACGGAUGAGAUUAUGAGAACUGCCCUUAGUACAGCAAGUUAGUAGUUUAAGUAAAAGACCUAUAUUGGUUAGGACCAUUAGAUCAUGAAAUUGCAUCUACUUUUUGCAUGCAAUAAAUAUAACUUUGUCUUCCAAGCCAUACCAUGCAUUCGAUUCUCUCAACCUAACCGUUAUUACCAAAGACUUGAACUUACAAUGAGUCUAAUAGACCCUGGAUACAGGAGCAAGGUAUACUAUGCUCAAAUAGUGGGACUUGCCAGUCUCUGAAUCCUAGUAUCUAGAUCUAAUAGAAAUAUUUCAUUAAAUUCCUACUAAUUCAUUGCAAUAUGUAAAGUCUACAACUACUACAGGUAUUAUGGAACUUACAUGUAUUGUAUAUUGCAACCAAUAGACUUCGUUUAAAGGUAGAUUUGUACUCGAAACUUUACAGGAACAAAAUACUGAAUAGUGAAUACCACAAGAGUUGCUCAGAAGACACCAAAUGUAGCUGAAGCUUUUGAACUAUGUGCUCUGCUUUAGCCUGCUUAUUAAUAAUAGUUUGAUAAUUAUUAAAAUUAUUAUGGUUAAUUAAACAUUAUUAUGGUUAACUAAUUAAAUAUUAAUUUUAUUCAGAAAGGUGUGUCUUCUUGACUUCUUGCUUGACUUCUUAAAAAAUCACUUGACUUCUUGACUUCUUUGAACUUCCAAAGAUUUUUUGGACUUCAGACUUUUUCAGUUGACUUCCAGUUUACUUCUCUUUCCCA